CCAAGUUAGAUGCUUAGCCAUAACUGUGGAAUGUCCUUGUUGAUGAUAUAACCAAUUCAUAUUGUAACCAUCCUUUUGUGUGUGUCUGUAUUUAAUGUUGUGUCCAGGUUUCCAAAUGACCAUUUUGUGGUUUCUCUGUAUUUCAUCCUCGAGGCCCCCUUCAAUUUUAUCGAGUCCUCUUUAGAAUGACAUGCUGGCUUUGAUGAAGUGCUGCUGUAGAAUGUUGCUUAAGAACUCCAGCCCCAAGAGUUUUCAGGUUUAGACUUUAUUGAGUCAUUAAUGAAAAGGCAGAAGAUCAGUAAAGACUUGCACUACCUCUGAAGUGAACAAAUGUCUUGGUAUUCCAUAGCACUGUGUUCUGCAGGUUUCAGAUGUUUUCUUUUAGAAGAAACGUCAGCUUCCUUUCUCCAACAUCCAGCAUAGGGCACUGAUGAGCAGCAACACAGAAUCCUUCAGCAUCUUACCGAGGCAGAGAAGUGGUGUGCUGAGAACAUUUCUAUGUUCAGGGGGCGAGUCUCACUCCCUGCAUGACUGUCAAUGGACAAAGACAACAUUGAGGAGGCCCUUCAGCAAUUUGAUUUGUUAUCUGAAUUUCCAGAAGAAGAGGAGAGGGAAUAUGUUUUUAGAACUUUCAUCAUCCUUUUUUUCACAUAUAGAAGACAUGCAUCUGUUUUUAGAUAAC